CCUACGGGUGGCAGCAGUCGAGAAUCAUUCACAAUGGGGGAAACCCUGAUGGUGCGACGCCGCGUGGGGGAAUGAAGGUCUUCGGAUUGUAAACCCCUGUCAUGUGGGAGCAAAUCAAAAAGAUAGUACCACAAGAGGAAGAGCCGGCUAACUCUGUGCCAGCAGCCGCGGUAAUAUAGAGGUCUCAAGCGUUGUUCGGAAUCACUGGGCGUAAAGCGUGCGUAGGCUGUUUCGUAAGUCGUGUGUGAAAGGUGCGGGCUCAACCCGCGGACGGCACAUGAUACUGCGAGACUAGAGUAAUGGAGGGGGAACCGGAAUUCUCGGUGUAGCAGUGAAAUGCGUAGAUAUCGAGAAGAACACUCGUGGCGAAGGCAGGUUCCUGGACAUUAACUGACGCUGAGGCACGAAGGCCAGGGGAGCGAAAGGGAUUAGAUACCCUUGUAGUC
rnacentral:rRNA from 1 species